rnacentral:rRNA from 1 species
GACGAACGCUGGCGGCGUGCUUAACACAUGCAAGUCGAACGGUGAAGCGCCUUCCUUUUUGGUGGGUGUGGAUGAGUGGCGAACGGGUGAGUAACACGUGAGUAACCUGCCCCCUUCUUCUGGAUAACCGCAUGAAAGUGUGGCUAAUACGGGAUAUUCUGGGUCUGUCGCAUGAUGGGUCUGGGAAAGAUCUUGUUUCGGUGGGGGAUGGGCUCGCGGCCUAUCAGCUUGUUGGUGGGGUGAUGGCCUACCAAGGCGGUGACGGGUGGCCGGCCUGAGAGGGUGGACGGUCACACUGGGACUGAGACACGGACCAGACUCCGACGGGAGGCAGCAGGGGGGAAUAUUGCACAAUGGGCGCAAGCCUGAUGCAGCGACGCCGCGUGAGGGAUGGAGGCCUUCGGGUUGUGAACCUCUUUCGCCAGUGAAGCAGGCCUGCCUCGUUUGUGGGUGGGUUGACGGUAGCUGGAGAAGAAGCGCCGGCUAACUACGUA